rnacentral:sRNA from 1 species
AGCUGAGGCACAUGCUUUGGGAGGUAAGUGGCUGCUGCACUUGACCACUAUGAAGGCUGGUGUGGGAAGAAUCCUUUUGGAUGCACUUCAGCAGGGGCCCCGAUCCCUGGGUCACAGGCCUGUACUGGGCCACACAACAGGAGGAGAAUCUAAUGCCUGAUGGUCUGUCACUGUCUCCCAUCACCCCCAGAUGGGACCAUCUAGUUGCAGGAAAAGAAGGUCAAGACUCCCACUCAUUCUACAUUAUGUCUCUGUGUGUUUCCCAGGCUGGAGCACAGUGGUUUGAUCUUGGCUCACUGCAGUCUCAACCUCUCAGGCUCAAGCUAUCCUUCCGCCUCAGCCUCUGGGGUAGCUGGGACCACAGCCUCAGCCAAGAUGUCUCACCCUACUCUCUAUGAUGCAAGAAGCCCCUGGGGAACGUUUCAGUCCCACUCUACUAUUGUCAUGUGCUCAUCACAGUCUGGUGGAAUUUAAAUGACCUCUUAUCAAGAUGGAUAAACCCAAGUUUCCCAGUGCUGGAAUACAGAAAAUGGAUGGACAAACAAGGUCUUGGUCUGUUGUCCAGGCUGGAGUGCGGUAGUGCUAUCACAGCUGACUGCAUCAUCGACCUCUCAGGCUCAAGCAGUCCUCCCACCUCAGCCUCCCAGGUGGCUGAGACUGUAUGCGCUUGCCACAAUGCCCAACUAAUAUCUGGACUUUUCCUAUACAUGGGUUCCAAAGGGCUGAAUGCGAAACGAAGUGACCUCACAAUGACUCAAGCUACCACUUAGUGUUGAUUGUGAUGAAAUGCCAGCUGUGGCACAUGCCUUGGGAGCUAAGUGGCUGCUGCACUUGACCACUAUGAAGACUGGUGUGGAAGGGUCCUUUUGGAUGUACUUGGGCAGAGUCCCCAACGCCGGAGCCAUGGAACUGUAAGGAGCCACACAGCCGGAGGUGAAUGGUGUUGAAUGAGGGAAGCUUCAUCUGUGUUUACAGCCACUCCCCAUUGCUCACAUUCCCGCCUGAGCUCCGCCUUCUCUCAGAUCAGCAGCAGCAUUAGAUUCUCAUGGGAGCACGCACCCCAUUGUGAACUGUGCAUGUGAGGGAUCUACGUUGCGCUGUCCCUGUGAGAAUCUAAUGCCUGAUGAUCUGUCACUUUCUCCAAUAUUAUCUUCAAGUGAGCCACUCCUGGCCCAAUUCCUGUCCCCCGUUGGCCUAUAGAGGCCAAGCUUCUGCCUCAUGACGGCCUCUCCAGGUCGAGCCCCUCCUCCUGGCUCCGUCUGCAGGCCUAACACUUCCCUCAAAUAAACUCUUCUGCCCAG